CUGCUGCCUUCCGUAGGAGUCUGGGCCGUGUCUCAGUCCCAAUGUGGCCGGCCAACCUCUCAGUCCCCCUAUGUAUCGUCGCCUUGGUGAGCCGUUACCUCACCAACCAGCUAAUACAACGCAUGCCCAUCAUCAACCACCGGAGUUUUCAACCCCAUGCGAUGCCGCAUGAGAUAUUAUGGGGUAUUAGUACCAAUUUCUCAGUGUUAUCCCCCUGUUGAUGGUAGGUUGCAUACGCGUUACG
rnacentral:rRNA from 1 species